rnacentral:rRNA from 1 species
GACGAACGCUGGCGGCGUGCCUAAUACAUGCAAGUAGAACGCUGAAGCUUGGUGCUUGCACCGAGCGGAUGAGUUGCGAACGGGUGAGUAACGCGUAGGUAACCUGCCUGGUAGCGGGGGAUAACUAUUGGAAACGAUAGCUAAUACCGCAUAAGAGUAGAUGUUGCAUGACAUUUGCUUAAAAGGUGCAAUUGCAUCACUACCAGAUGGACCUGCGUUGUAUUAGCUAGUUGGUGAGGUAACGGCUCACCAAGGCAACGAUACAUAGACGACCUGAGAGGGUGAUCAGCCACACUGGGACUGAGACACGGCCCAGACUCCUACGGGAGGCAGCAGUAGGGAAUCUUCGGCAAUGGACGGAAGUCUGACCGAGCAACGCCGCGUGAGUGAAGAAGGUUUUCGGAUCGUAAAGCUCUGUUGUAAGAGAAGAACGAGUGUGAGAGUGGAAAGUUCACACUGUGACGGUAUCUUACCAGAAAGGGACGGCUAACUACGUG